rnacentral:rRNA from 1 species
CCUACGGGUGGCAGCAGUGGGGAAUAUUGGACAAUGGGCGCAAGCCUGAUCCAGCCAUGCCGCGUGUGUGAAGAAGGCCUUCGGGUUGUAAAGCACUUUCAGUGGGGAAGAAAGCCUUGGGGCUAAUACCCUCGAGGAAGGACAUCACCCACAGAAGAAGCACCGGCUAACUCCGUGCCAGCAGCCGCGGUAAUACGGAGGGUGCGAGCGUUAAUCGGAAUUACUGGGCGUAAAGCGCGCGUAGGCGGUCUGAUAAGCCGGUUGUGAAAGCCCCGGGCUCAACCUGGGAACGGCAUCCGGAACCGUCAGGCUAGAGUGCAGGAGAGGAAGGUAGAAUUCCCGGUGUAGCGGUGAAAUGCGUAGAGAUCGGGAGGAAUACCAGUGGCGAAGGCGGCCUUCUGGACUGACACUGACGCUGAGGUGCGAAAGCGUGGGUAGCAAACAGGAUUAGAUACCCUAGUAGUC